UACGUAGGCAGCGAGCGUUGUUCGGAGUUACUGGGCGUAAAGCGUGCGCAGGCGGUGAUGUAAGACAGAUGUGAAAUCCCCGGGCUCAACCUGGGAACUGCAUUUGUGACUGCAUCGCUGGAGUGCGGCAGAGGGGGAUGGAAUUCCGCGUGUAGCAGUGAAAUGCGUAGAUAUGCGGAGGAACACCGAUGGCGAAGGCAAUCCCCUGGGCCUGCACUGACGCUCAUGCACGAAAGCGUGGGGAGCAAACAGG
rnacentral:rRNA from 1 species